rnacentral:tRNA from 1 species
GGGAAAGUAGCUCAGGGGUUAGAGCGCUGCGCUCAUAAUGCCAAGUUGUGAGCAAUGAGAGUCCAUUACCGGACUUGAUGAUUAAAAACAAACUUUACAUGAGAAACGCAGAGGUCCCGGGUUCGAUUCCCGGCUUUCCCA